rnacentral:rRNA from 1 species
UGUAACUGACACUGAGGAGCGAAAGCAUGGGGAGCGAACAGGAUUAGAUACCCUGGUAGUCCAUGCCGUAAACGUUGGGCACUAGGUGUGGGGGACAUUCCACGUUUUCCGCGCCGUAGCUAACGCAUUAAGUGCCCCGCCUGGGGAGUACGGCCGCAAGGCUAAAACUCAAAGGAAUUGACGGGGGCCCGCACAAGCGGCGGAGCAUGCGGAUUAAUUCGAUGCAACGCGAAGAACCUUACCAAGGCUUGACAUACACCAGAUCGUCACAGAAAUGUGGUUUCCUCCUUGUGGGGUUGGUGUACAGGUGGUGCAUGGUUGUCGUCAGCUCGUGUCGUGAGAUGUUGGGUUAAGUCCCGCAACGAGCGCAACCCUCGUUCUAUGUUGCCAGCACGUGAUGGUGGGAACUCAUAGGAGACUGCCGGGGUCAACUCGGAGGAAGGUGGGGAUGACGUCAAAUCAUCAUGCCCUUUAUGUCUUGGGCUUCACGCAUGCUACAAUGGCUGGUACAAAGGGAGGCGAGACCGUGAGGUUCAGCGAAUCCCUUAAAGCCAGUCUCAGUUCGGAUCGUAGUCUGCAAUUCGACUACGUGAAGUCGGAGUCGCUAGUAAUCGCAGAUCAGCAUUGCUGCGGUGAAUACGUUCCCGGGUCUUGUACACAC